CCUACGGGAGGCAGCAGUGAGGAAUAUUGGUCAAUGGGCGCGAGCCUGAACCAGCCAAGUCGCGUGAGGGAAGACGGUCCUAUGGAUUGUAAACCUCUUUUGUCGGGGAGCAAAAGACGCCACGCGUGGCGUUCCGAGAGUACCCGAAGAAAAAGCAUCGGCUAACUCCGUGCCAGCAGCCGCGGUAAUACGGAGGAUGCGAGCGUUAUCCGGAUUUAUUGGGUUUAAAGGGUGCGAAGGCGGGAUGCCAAGUCAGCGGUAAAAUUGCGGGGCUCAACGCCGUCGAGCCGUUGAAACUGGCGUUCUUGAGUGGGCGAGAAGUAUGCGGAAUGCGUGGUGUAGCGGUGAAAUGCAUAGAUAUCACGCAGAACUCCGAUUGCGAAGGCAGCAUACCGGCGCCCUACUGACGCUGAGGCACGAAAGCGUGGGUAUCGAACAGGAUUAGAUACCCCAGUAGUC
rnacentral:rRNA from 1 species